rnacentral:rRNA from 1 species
CACUCCUACGGGAGGCAGCAGUGGGGAAUUUUGGACAGUGGGCGAAAGCCUGAUCCAGCCAUGCCGCGUGCAGGAUGAAGGCCUUCGGGUUGUAAACUGCUUUUGUACGGAACGAAACGGCCUUUUCUAAUAAAGAGGGCUAAUGACGGUACCGUAAGAAUAAGCACCGGCUAACUACGUGCCAGCAGCCGCGGUAAUACGUAGGGUGCAAGCGUUAAUCGGAAUUACUGGGCGUAAAGCGUGCGCAGGCGGUUAUGUAAGACAGUUGUGAAAUCCCCGGGCUCAACCUGGGAACUGCAUCUGUGACUGCAUAGCUAGAGUACGGUAGAGGGGGAUGGAAUUCCGCGUGUAGCAGUGAAAUGCGUAGAUAUGCGGAGGAACACCGAUGGCGAAGGCAAUCCCCUGGACCUGUACUGACGCUCAUGCACGAAAGCGUGGGGAGCAAACAGGAUUAGAUACCCUAGUAGUCCCAUGAU